AAGUCGUAACAAGGUAUCCGUAGGUGAACCUGCGGAUGGAUCAUUAAAAAGAAUGUAUUUGAAGCUGUGUGAACUGGUUAUUGUUUGUUGUCAAAUGAUCAAAACAAAUCAUUUGUCAACUUGUAUACUUUUACUACUAAAUUCAAAUGUGUCAUUGUACACAAACAAAAGUUAUACAACUUUUAGCAAUGGAUCUCUUGGCUCUC
rnacentral:misc_RNA from 1 species